GCCUUUAAAUAGGCGUUAUCAGUCGCUAUAAGGACCAUAGAUGUGGGUCAUUAGGGGCCUACACUAUGCCUACUAUGUUGUAAAAGUGAAAGUGAAACUUAAAAGUAACACGUUCUAACAUGAAAUUAAUGAAACGUCACCUUUUGAACAUAAAGAAAAAGGCUUCUUAAGGUUUAGGCAACAAAACUACAACUUUUUUAGGUUUAGGCAAC